GAUCAGAGUUUGGUUAAGA
rnacentral:snRNA from 1 species